ensembl:rRNA 5_8S_rRNA 5.8S ribosomal RNA
GACUUUUAGCGGUGGAUCACUCAGCUUCUGCAUUGAUGAAGAAUGCAGCUAGCUGUGAGAAUUAAUGUGAAUUGCAGGGCACAUUGAUCAUUGACACUUUGAAUGGACUUGUGGCCCGGGUUCCUCCCAGGGUUAUGCCUGUCUGAGUGUCA